CUCUUCUUCUUCUCUUCCUCUUCUUCUUCUUCUCCUCUUCGAAUGCCCCACAUCUCUCCUCUGUUUCCACCUACAGGAAAUAGAGGUGCUGCAGCCCUAGCUGCUGCCACCUCUCGCUCCUCUCCCUCUUCCCUCCCUUUUCCCUCUUCUUCUCCUUCUCUUCUUCUCCUCUUCGCUUUUCCUCCCCAACGUCACACACCUCCUCGCUGCAGCCUUGCCGCAGGUAUCCUCCUAUCUUCUUCUUCUUCUUCUUCUUCUCCUCCUUCCUCUCU
rnacentral:lncRNA from 1 species